AUGACCCUGGGAGCCCUGAGCCUCCCAGGAGCCUGUCCCACUGUCCUGGGCAGGUCCCUGUCCCACUGUCCUGGGCAGGUCCCUGUCCCACGGUUCUGGGCAGGUCCCCGUCCCACAGCUCUGGGCAGGUCCCUGUCCCACAGCUCUGGGCUGGGCAGGUCCCUGUCCCACAGCUCUGGGCUGCUCCCUGUCCCUCCCCACUGCUCCAUCUCCUCCCAGGAGGAGCACGCCCUGUCUGGGGCACCCAGGACCCCACCCCGUCCUCACCCAACCCCGGCAAACGCCAUCCCCACCUGCCCGAGUCACCUGGCAGCAGGAAAAGCCUCAGGAAUCUGCCUGGAUCAGCUAAAUGGGACAGAAAUGCAAAGCGCUGUGGGUCCUGUGAACCGCCGGCGAUUAUUGUUUACAGCGGCGAGACUGAGUGUGGGAGGAUGCGGUGGAAGCAGAGGCACAAAAACCUCCGUGUCCCAAAAAGCAGCAGCGGUGUGAGCAGAGCCUCCUCCAGGCGAGGCUGGGCUCCUUCCAGAACUCCUUAUCUUAAGCAAACUGCUCCUUGGGAACCAGCAGCAUUGGAACUGAAGCCUGCUCUACAAAUGAGAAAGAGAAACCUUGUUUUACCAACUCCCUCCUUAGGGAAAUAGGGGCUGGUUCAGCGCAGAGCCUGAACGCAGAGAGAGCGGCUGGGGAGAUCAGGGCGGCUCCGGAGCAGGGGCACAAAACCCGUCCGGAUGCCGGGCUGAGCUGGAUCCGUGCGGCUGAUCCGGCACACAUCAAAAGGCGGCUCCAGGUGUGGCUGCGUUGUCAGAGGUGCUGGGCACGCUCUGAGGUUCCCCUCCAGGGCUGCCCACAGGGAAGCACGGGCAGCUGGGGUGGUUUUCUUGCAGAGAAACCCUUCUAUUUUAUCAACACAAAUAUCAAAAUACUUGAUUUUUGGUUAUCAGAGACACCAAGAGCCAGGGAAGCACUUGAGCCGUUCCCAGCCGGUGUCUGCCCAGCCAGCCUGGUUUCUGUGCUGUCCCAAAGGACACACAGGGGGCUUUGAAGCUGCAUGAGUCACCAGGACACCCAAGAGCUGCACCCAAACACCCCAGAGCACCCCUGCACCCUGCCCAUCCAGCCAGGAAAAGCUGGCAGGAAAAGUUGUCCCCCAGCAGCAGGACAGACAUUGACACCCUGACACGAGGUUAUUUACUUGACUGCAGACUCGGCUCUGAGAGGUGCCAGCAGCACACAGCCACACACAUCAGACAGGAGAUACUCAAGGCACAGCCACUCCUGCCCAAAUUCAUUCCCUCCACGGCUGGAAACAAGGAUUUGCAGGGAAUGCCAGCAGGAUUCACUCCCAGCUCCUUUCACACUGACACCAGGAUGCUGGAUGUCUGUCCUGCACAGAGCCUGCAACACUCCAAACAAAGCAGGGAAAAAAGGCAACAUCUGCCAUGUCUCAGGCAACAUCUGCAUCAGCCCCAGGAGAAGCAGGACUUGGGUUAAAAUCAGAGAAAAGGUCCCCCUGAGCCUCCUUUUCUCCAGACUGAACAGUCAAUAAUUAUAAUAAAUAAAUAAAUACAUAAAUAAAUAAAUGCCACUUUCCCAUUCUACUAAAUACAACCAGAUCUGACAUAAAUAAAAAUAGGCCAGGACUGUACAAACAAAAACCUGAGUAUCCUCAGGCUGCAAGUCAAAAGCAAACAAGCAGCAACUCUGCAUCAGGAAGAAAAAAAUAAAUGUUCACCGAGCGGGGAGAGCACGCCCCGUCUGCAGCUCUCAGGCAUUUUUAAUGGGAAUCACUAUUGGGAUGACAGGGAAUGCAGAUAUGAGUGUCCCUCCCCCUCCAUUCCAGUUGUUUGGGGAGUUUUUGAGGCAGAACUACUCCCACAGUCUGCAUAAUUCUCUGAAAUGAAAAGGGAAAUAGAGUUAUUUAAAAUCUGUUUCAAUAUAAGUAUGGAAAACAUCCUGCCAAAGGAGAAGUCCCUCAGAACAUAUUUAUACAGCAUUUCACAACACCACAAAAUUCCGUGAAUUUGUCCUUAAUGUCAGAAUUUGAAACCACACAAGCCAGGAUCUCACCUCGCACCUGACCCCAGGGUUUGGAGAAAGAGCCUCGACAAAGUUUUUUUUUUUCUUCAAAUAAACCUAAUUUCUCCUAAACUGGACAUGUCUUUAAGCACCCUCACUCACACAUUCCCCAGCCCCGGGGAACCCCCUGGCUCUGAGCAGCGUUUGAGGAAAUUCAUCAGGAACACCGGGCAGAAAGCAAAGGUGCACCCCAAAAAUGAGAUUUGCAUCCCCCUCCAAGGGUUCCAUGAGCCCCUCGGUGUGCCCGUGUCACGUUGCGGUGGCGGCCGGGUGACAUUUAAUUAACACAGGAAGGGCUGAAGCCUUAAUGCGCCGCAGCGGGGCCAUCUGGGGCUGCCGCCUCUGCCCAGCUCUCCAUCCCGAACGCUCCGAGAGCCGCGCAAAUCCCCACCAGGAGCACGGAAUGGCUCACAUCUGAGAAAAACCCAGCUUUAGGAGCAGGACUGGCUGAGCCAGGCAUUAAUCGCCCCGGUGAGGCUGGUGCUGCUGCACGUGCCUGGCGCAGCGCUCCCAAACAACCCCAAAAAUGAGCAGCGACGCGUCCCCCACCCCCCGCCCGCGGUGGGACGCGGCUCAGCCCCAAAUUACCGCGGGCAUCACCUCCCUGCCCUCCACACCCACACUGGUACAGGUGAUUUUAUGGGCACAAACCUGCAGGGAGUGGCAUCAGCAUUGACACCUUCUGCCAAAAUUCAAGAGGCUCAGCUGACCCCGACCAGCAAAUUUUCAAGUCCCUCAAGCCCCAGCAACUGCAUCCAAAAGAGUUUCCCCCCAGCCUGAGGGACUGAGCUGGACAGCAGCGGUUUCAGAGCCAGCAGGGCACAAAUCCCCAAGUUAUCAGUGACACAAAUUUGCUAAAACCUCUUCGCUUCGCCUCCCGCAACACCUAACGCGGGUCACAGCUCGCCAGGGAGCGGGAGCGGCACCCGGGACAGGGGACAGGGCGCGGGUGUCACUGCACAGCCCCAGCCGGGUCACCUCGGGCCCCUCCUGCCCCUUCCCACCCAGGGGGAGGAUGAAUCCCUCCUGCAGAGCACGAACAGCAGCACGGAGCGACACGAGAACGCCCCGGUGCAUCUCCCCGGCACCAGCUCCCUCACCCCAGCAGUUUGGGCAGAGCUUCAGGCGAAUUUACAAAUUCUUGAGGACUUUACCCUUCACUGUAAAGCUCUACAAACACGAACCCUCCCUACUCACCCCGCCCAUGAGCCGAUCAUCUCCUCUUUCCUGGAACAGCUUCAUUUUCCAAACCCGCCCGGCAGCACCGCACCCGCUCCCGCAGACCCCGGCCCGCGGCGCAGCCCCCCGGGACUGCCCCAGGGGGACCCGGCAGGCCCCAAAACCGGACCUGAGGGGUGCAGACCCCUGACCUGGGGGGUGCAGACCCCUGACCUGGGGGAUGCAGAGCUGGGGCGAACAGGAGGGAGAGGGUCCGGGGGGGGGCAGAGUCCGGGCAGGGUAAGGGAUGCGGGAUGGCAGCACCGGGCGGGGAUGCGGGCGGGACAGGGGUGCGGGACAGCGAGGGGCAGGAAGGGGACAGGCAGGGGACAGCAGGGGACAGCAGGACGCUCAGACACGGGCAGCACUCACAGUCGCAGCGCAGGGCGCGCUCCCGCACCGCCUCCCCGCACAGGUCGCACCAUCCCCGGCGCGGCAGCCGCGAGCCCCCCCCCCCCCCCCCCCCCCCCCCCCCCCCCCCCCCCCCCCCCCCCCCCCCCCCCCCCCCCCC
rnacentral:lncRNA from 1 species